AGUAUAUUCAGCCAAAGUAUCUGAGAAUUAUACACAACUUAAAUGCUCCAAUCAAAACUAAGGAACCAACAAAACAUACAUCCAAAAAGGGUGAGGUCGAGUACUUUAUUUUAAGACUAUUGUGAUAUAAUGGAUUUUUAAUAAUAUAACUUCAACACUAAUAUUUUGUACUAUUCUAAGUUUUGAUAUGGCCUAAAGAAGUGUAAUAACAGAAAGGUUAAUGCUUCUCAAUUAUGUACCAAAAGGAAAAUUUUACAACAAAGUUGGUAAAUUCAAGCUUGCAUGCAGUGAAGUUUUUGAAUAGGUUACUAAAAUGCUCAUCAACAAUUAAAUUGUAAUUACAGAUGUUGCAACAAUGAACUUUAGAGGGAUUAGAUAUAAGACCCAAAGCAAUCACACCCACAAACAUAAUUAUUAAUCAGACAUGCAUAUAACAGUGAAUUUGAUAACAAAAGCAAGAAAUUCUACAAUUUUUCUUUCUACAUCUAAUAAAAGAAGUGAGAAAAAUUUUAUGAAAAGCUAUCUGUUUAGGAGACUGUAAUGGAAAAACAAAAAAUCCAAAAUAAGCAAUUAUUGUUGCUACCACUCUAAUAUGAAUUGCUUCAAUGACUUGUAGCUCUUCCCUAUGAAUGCGUCCACAACAUAGUUCUUCUCAUGAGGUAAUCAAUAUAUGUUAAGUUAUCGCAUACUUAGGAGAUGUAGCCUCAAUCAUUUAUUGUGAUUUUCUUGAUGUAAAUGUGAUUUUACAAGCAUGCGCCUUUCCAUUUGGCACAAACCACCAGACCACAGUUUCUAUCAUGACAAAGAUAGAUAUUUCAAACUGUUUUGACUUUUGAGUUUUGAUUCCCUUCCCACACCUCCCUUCCUCGCCUCCAUCAAAGAAAAAAAAAUGAUAA
rnacentral:misc_RNA from 1 species